AUAUUUUGAACCUUUUGAAAGCCGUCAAAAACCUGUAACUCUCGUUACUUUGAAACAUAGAAUUCAGCCGCGGAAAAUGGCAGAUCCUUACAGUGAACCAGAUGAAGUGGCCGAACUGCAGUCUGCCUUUAACGAUAUUAGCAACUUAUGGCAAGAUGUACCAGAAGUAAUAAACAUUUAAAACUAACAGUGAUGAAAGUAUAGUAGUCACAAGAUUAACAAUUUAUUUAAAUUAAUUCCUUACAACUAUUAGUAUCAAUCAUUCUUUGACUUCGAUG
rnacentral:misc_RNA from 1 species